AUAAAUUCUAUCGUAAAUUUCAUUAUUUCCACUUCUGAAGUCGGGAUUGCAAGCACUUUAAUGUGCAGUAUUUAACUAGGAAACUUACGUAUGUUAAUUCAGAUGGCUUGUGACUUUAGCAUUUUAUAUGUUCUAAAUUAUAUACAUAAAGAUGUUGACUAAAUGUUUAUGUAAUAUCUGACAACAUCUUCGGCAACAAUUGCAGAAGAGAACAUCAACACAACAUGAAAUAGACAUCAGUGAUGUGUGUGUGCUAUUAGCUAUGCAGUAGAAUUCACUGUUGUGAACACUGCUAAUGUAAAUCAUUAUGUAAUGUAAAUUAAACCAUACUAUUUUAAAGGUUUCAAGAAAUUAUAGUUAUCAAUAAAAUACUGAGAUAUCCUUUUUUUGUCUGUAUUGCACACCCCUACUUCUUUAUAUUUCCACUGAGACCAGUGUAUCAGGAAGAACUCAAGACUGUAUUCACAGAUCCUGAGUGAUAACAGCCUCUCUACAGCCGACACGAGCAGCGCAACGCAUUAUAAUCAGUGAUACUGUCUACUGCACUGAACAGAUCACCCCUUCUACUUCUAAAGGACCCUAUCUAGGACAAAACAUCAUGUAUCAUACCAAAUACAAGCCCAAGCGACUAUCAGAUAACACAAACCUGUAUCAUCUUAAUAAACCAAGUGUAUCGUCUCUACAAAGUGGGAAUCAUUCUGUAUUACAUUUAAUUACUGUUUGAAACAUUUGUAAUUAGUGGCGUGACACCCUACUUAUAAUGCUAACUAUAGAGUGUUAGAUCCAGAGCUGCUCGUAUCCAUCAUUAAAUCUGCUUGACUGGAGAACUGGGAAUGCUGUUGGCUGUUGUGGGACAGUAAUUUCAUCUAUGAAAUGAAUCGAGUUAUUAAUUAGUCUGUUCUGUCUUGAAUUAUGUGACGCUUUCUAUCCAGUGUUCCCAUAAAGAGACGUAAAGCUCUAAUAUUGUCGAAGGCGAUUAAAUCAUAAUACUGUGGCUAACGAAAUCUAAAUGUUAAGUAUCUUUUACUGUAGCACUUCUUCUGGAUCUUAAAAUUCAUAUCUGAGCUAGUGUAAAUGAGCAACGCUGUUUCAGUUAGAGACCGCUGACUGUAAAGCAACACCUGAUCGGUUGAAGUGAGAACGUGCUAUGAUUGGCCGGCAGUAGAGUCCACCUGUCUGU
ensembl:lncRNA